rnacentral:misc_RNA from 1 species
UCAGCCUAUAGUGUGGCGUUGCAGGCGGGCGGGGUUCCCCUGCUAAAGGAGCAGUCCUUGCCUAGUUCGUUCAUUCAGUGUUCAUCCAAGAGUUGCGUCAACAGAACCUGUUGCACUCGCUCCAAAAAUACAAAAGCCAAAUCACCUGCUAACUUCACCUGCUGGCGGCUCGUGGUGGUCAAGAAAGCUAGAGAGAGAGUUUCCUUGGCGGUGCUUACACGGGCUCACGUCAACAGUUCCCCGAGGCGCCAGACGAAGGGUGCGGCAUGGAGUGGACGUGCAAUGAAGACUGCUGGUGCCACAUCCCCGUGCAGAAGGAGCGCGGCCCUCCCUGCUACCAGUGUGUGCUUCUCAACUGUUCUUUCACCAGUCCCACGCCAGUACCUUCAGCUCCGCCACUCCGCGCCUUGCUGGACCACCAGGAACCCUCCCAUGCACCACACCUGCACGAGGAGCCCAGCACACCACCACACCUGUACUCACACCUGUACGAGGAACCCUCCACACCACCAUUCCGGCAUGAGGAAACCAGUACACCAUCACACCACUCAUCGCCUUCCCCACCGCCGCUACUGCCCCCAAAGAGAAAUAAGUUAAGUAUCAGGGGCAGCUGGUGUCCCUCUACAUCAAACAGGGUGUGCCUUAGUUCUGAUCCUGCCCCACCAGAUGCUGCAGCAGCGGUGAGACGCACCCAAGAGUACUCUCCUUCACCACCAGCAGCCCAGGCAAGGCUUGAAAUGGAAGUUCCAGUUUUGCCAGGCUUGGAAGAACAGGUGCAACAUGAAAAUGUAAAGAAGAAAGAACCUUCUGAUGUGUCUGGUCUUUUACGAGAACUGCUCCUGCAUGAUGAGAACGUGCCUGCUGCUUCACAAGAUGCUGAAGCUUUGCCUUGGGUGUCACAUGAAAGAAUUACCUCUUCAACACAUGCUGGGAAUAGUUUUCCAGAAACUGGCCCAGAUACAGCUAAUUCAAGUGAUGAUAACAAGGAUUACCGAAGAAAGAGACGAAACAGAGUGAGGUUGUCAGGUUUUGGUCUUGAUGCCAACGUCUUGUCCCAGAGGGACUCCAUGCAAGACACAGCUCAAUAUGGGUGUCUUGAUGAAGAGGCUUUCAGACGAAUAAACAAGAUAAACCGUAGAGAAUCUUGGAAGUGUGCUCGACAGCGACAUUUGCUGAACAAUAAUACCCGUAAAACCUACAUUUAAGCCAAGUAAAGUUAGCAAAGCAGUGAUCAUGUUCCUCCUGUAAUUUCUCCAGCAAUUAACUCAGCUUUGAAUAACAACCAAUAAGGUGCAGCGUUUUGUUCCCCUGAAGCAGAGGAGUGACAGGAUCCAGUACAACACAAUGCUGAUCUGUACACCACUUAAACCAUUCAUUUUGCUGCUGUGGUGAAUCCAUAAAUCCCCGAAGAGGAUUUACUGCCAAGUAUUAAGAGACCUGGUGAUUCUUCAGCUACUUUCAAGAAAUUCAUAGUGAGUAUAAUUGAUACGUAAUGCGGUAAAGACUUCCUCUCCUGUGACAGCCCUUGUCAUGUUCAUAACUGCUGACCGGCAUGUCACACUAGUACAGUACUAUAUACGAUAAGAUAAAUGUACCAAGAAGAAACUCUUCUCUUGCAGCCACUAGUCCAGAUCCCACUCAGCUCAGUGGCAACAGUAUUCAACUCAAUAGCUGCACUAACUGUUGUGCUUCAAAGUUGUGCGCUCUCUUGCAUGUGUUUACUAAACACAAAUGUAUCAUUGAGCUGGAAAGCUGGAACUGGUGUAUCCAGCCACUAAUAUCAUCAUUAGGGCUCAAAAUAUUAGAACAUCGUAAUAACGAUGACUAAGAAGCGAAAGUAAAGUAAACAGGUUAUCUACAAAGGGAAUAAAUAAAAACGUGAAAAGUUGCGACUAAGUUUUCCUGUUACAAAAGGGUCAUAAAAAUUAACUCAGGUAACAGCAUAGAUUGAACUGCUAUAUCUGAUUGCCUAAGACUUUUCUGUAUUGUCAGUAGCUUACAGCACUUGUCUAGGCUUUCCUGGAGCCAUGUUUCUAUCUGCAGUGGUUAAAGAAGUAUAUUGUAAAGGGGGACUUGAAAAGACUCAAGUUGGCCGCCAGAGGUCUUGUGUCACUUGCAUCCGAAGACAGUCUUGAUGUUCAGCAUCUGCUGGCUGACGUCAGUCCACUAGAUGGUGAGUGACGAUGGCCACCUCUCAGCGGGACUUGACCUUGGAUAUGUGACUUCACUGCCUGAGUGCUGUAUUGACUUUUUGCUGUGCUGAUGAUCCAGUUAAAACCUUACUUAGGUAAAUUACUUAGGAAGAUAAGAAAAUAUGAAUAAAUGAAUAAAUAAACAUAUAUGAACUGCAAUAGUGAUAUACCACAAUUCAGAAGCCAGGCACUGUUUCUGUACUUAUAUAUAAAUAAAAUGUUAUUAUCAUUGAUA